rnacentral:sRNA from 1 species
UUCUAGCCCUGAAUGACUGACUAUCCCACGCUUUCGCGGGGAUAAUAGGUAGGGCAGGAACAUGG